GGGGGAAGUGGGCGGAGCGAGGCCUGGGUAGGGUGAGCGGCCUCCGAAGCGGAGCGGGGCUCUGAGGAGACACUUUUUCUUCCUCCCUCCUUCCCUCCUCUCCUCCUGCCUUCCCUUCCCCUUUCCUCCCCUCUCUCCUCCUUCUCCCCUCGGUCAGCCGGAGCCUGCUGGGGCGAGCGGUUGGUAUUGCAGGCGCUUACUCUCCGGGGCCGCCCGGCGAGUAGCUGGCCGGGGAAGGAGGCAGGAACCGCGAUGGCGCCUCAGAAGCACGGCGGUGGGGGAGGGGGCGGCUCGGGGCCCAGCGCGGGGUCCGGGGGAGGCGGCUUCGGGGGUUCGGCGGCGACGGCUUCGAGCGGCAAAUCCGGCGGCGGGGGCUGUGGAGGCGGUGGCAGUUACUCGGCCUCCUCCUCCUCCGCGGCGUUACCGGUGAAGAAGUCGAAAAUGGAGCACGUCCAGGCUGACCACGAGCUUUUCCUCCAGGCCUUUGAGAAGCCAACACAGAUCUAUAGAUUUCUUUGAACUCGGAAUCUCAUAGCACCAAUAUUUUUGCACAGAACUCUUACUUACAUGUCUCAUCGAAACUCCAGAACAAACAUCAAAAGGAAAACAUUUAAAGUUGAUGAUAUGUUAUCAAAAGUAGAGAAAAUGAAAGGAGAGCAAGAAUCUCAUAGCUUGUCAGCUCAUUUGCAGCUUACAUUUUUGGUUUCUUCCACAAAAAUGAUAAGCCAUCACCAAACUCAGAAAAUGAACAAAAUUCUGUUACCCUGGAAGUCCUGCUUGUGAAAGUUUGCCACAAAAAAAGAAAGGAUGUAUGUUGUCCAAUAAGGCAAGUUCCCACAGAGUGACUCGUCCAAGAAGAAGAGAGUUUAAUGGAAUGAUUAAUGGAGAAACCAUGAAAAUAUUGAUGUCAGUGAAGAGCUUCCAGCCAGAAGAAAAUGAAAUCGUGAGGAUGGGGAAAAGACAUUUGUUGCACAAAUGACAGUAUUUGAUAAAAACAGGUAAUGUUGAUGAACAAGCGAGGCUCCCACAAUGUUCUGGAAAUGUUUUCAUUCUGAAGCAGAAUAUAAUUAUUUAUAUUGAUUAUUUC
rnacentral:lncRNA from 1 species